GGAUCUGACGCACUAUAGGGGAGACCGCGGGCGNUAAGUCAGAGGAAGGCGAGGGCAACGGUAGGUCAGUAUGAUCCGAAUGCUAUGGGCUACACGCGCAAUACAAAGGACGGGACAAUGGGCUGCAACUCCGAGAGGAACGACGCUAUCCCGAAACCCGUUCGUAGUUCGGAUUGAGGGCUGUAACUCGCCCUCAUGAAGCUGGAUUAGGUAGUAAUCGCGUCUCAAUAGGGCGCGGUGAAUAUGCCCCUGCUCCUUGCACACACCGCCCGUCAAACCAUCUUAGUUGGGGGUGGGUGAGGCUACCUUAACCAUGGGGUAUUCGAGCCUGCCUUCGACAAGGAGGGUUAAGUCGUAACAAGGUA
rnacentral:rRNA from 1 species